GCUAUGGUACAUAUUUGUUCCUGAAUCCUUUUCUCAAAGGCACUAUUUAAAUAUGUUGAUGCAUCCAGCAUGGCUAAUAUUAAAAAAAAAGACCCCACAGAUAAAUGUAAUUUAUCAAUAGCAAGAAGCAGACCAUGGUGUUCAAGUAUAGCACUGCCCUGGAAAAACACAAGCUCUUCAUUUCUGGCUUGCCGUUUUCCUGUACGAAGGAGGAGCUGGAGGAAGUCCAUGGGAACGUGAAGGAUAUCUAGCUGGUCACGAACCGAGCUGGGAAACCCAUGCCAUCCCUGGACAUGAAUCGCAUGAAGAAAUAUUAGCGUGGACCAAACAGAUGGUUGUUUCUGCUUGCAUCCAUACACAGUUCAACUAAUGUCUCACCACACAAACAUGCAUCCAAGAAAGUUUGAUGUGGUACACGAAUGCAAGUGACAAGUGGAGGUAGGCGAAGCAAACGUUCCAUACUGCUGGAGCGAUUAGAAGAGUGGAGAUCGUUGGUUCAUCCUUCCUUCUGGAAUCUGGGAUGAGCAAGAGAUAAUAUUGGCAACAGUUGCUGCAGAGGCAGAGAUCAUUCGUGGACUUUUCCACUAAGGAAUGUUAUUCAAUCAUUUACAUGAUUUUUAUGUUUCUAUUUUGUUGUAAUUGUAUUGAACCACUAGAGGGACCUAAAGUCCGUCUAAACCCGUUUUGUGACUUGGAUGCUGGUGGUGUUGUCAAAACCCUUAUAUAAAAGUAACUGGGUUUUUCUUACAGCUUACCGCUAAGGUCUGAGCUGUCGCAGCAGAGAUGAAUGUUGAGGUGUAACAUAAAAUAAGUAAUGCAUGGAGAAAAAAGCAAUAACUGGGUAACAGGACUUAGGAUAAUUGAGAUGCUAAGAGAUCAUGAAGUUAUUCCCAGAUAUUGGCUGAUGUAAGCCUAAAAAAAUAAUUCUGUUGAUGGAGUCGUUCACAUAAGAUUUGACUUUGAGCACUAAAUACCUUGUUGUCCCCUGCUUGAGCAUGUCCUAUUUUGAGUGUUGCUUGCUGAGUGAAAGGAAGGUAAAUGCAGGUUAAUGGGUUAUUGACUGAAAAUAAAAGCUUAUUCUUGUGAACACUUCCCCGCCAGACAAACAGCAUAAAGACUUUAAAAUGAAUAGAAACACAGGUUGGAUCCAGAUUUAGUUAUACGUAACACAGACCCAUUGAAAUAAAUGAGAUGGUUAGCUGAAUUUAACUUAAGCUCUAUUCAUUUCAGUUGGCCUACCUUAAGUAGUCUGGAUCCAACCCUACAUUUUCAGUAAUAUUUGCGUUUU